AUAUGGUAUCAAUAUUAAAAGACAGACACAAAUAUACGUGGAAAUAUUUGAAAAGUAUGCCUAACAUUACUGGCACUAACACACAGGAAAAUGGUAAUGGUGAGGAACUAAAUGAAAAUAUUAUGGCUAUUACUAGAAUAAUGUAAAAGACGAUACCAAUGUUUCAAUCUAAAUAAUAGAAAAUUUCAAGUCAAUGAUUAAUUUUGAAUAACAUAAGAAUAAAGUGAAAUAAAUAUGUGACUAUAAAAAGAUCCCCAUAUACCUGGUUUUAGGCAGCUGUGUACAAUAAAAUCACUAUAGCAACUAUAAGAAUUUUGAGUUACUUGAUGAUGUCACAAUGAUAGAGCCUACCAAUAAAUCAACAGGUUACUUCUAGUGUGGCAUAAACUAGGUUAGUGAUGAUAUACCUAGGUGACAGUAAUAAUUCAAACAAAAUGAAAUUUGAAAAGGGAUGAACUCAUUAAGUACUGGAAGUUAGAAGUCCAAGAUGAAAGUAUCAACAGUGCCCAUGGCGUUACCACCUAAUGAAAUAUAUUAAACUAGAAUUCUCAGCAGAGUUAUUUAAUACUGAAUUCUAAUACGUUGGGAUAUUUUAAGCUUCUGAGAUAACAUUUUAAAUUUACACUAUAGUAAAAAGGCAUAAUGAUUCAAGGAACAAGUUUAACAAAUAAAAAGAAAAAAAUCCUAGUUUAUUGGGAAUAUAGACAGUGGCUAAAAACAACAUUUGAAUGGAAAAUUAAAGACAUCAAAUAAUAAAAUCAAUUUUUUUAAAUCUUUACUAAAAGCCUCAGAGAAAGUCUUUCAUUAUUUAUUAAAUGUCAAUGCAAAAAUGGAUUUAUAUGAUCCCUUAAAAACUGAUUAAUUUGUGUGCAAUAAAGUGGAACUUUUCUCAAGUUUUCUUGACAGUCUCACAGAAAUACUUAUGUUCAGGGACUGGAAGAAUUAAUAUCACCAAGAUGUCCAUACUACCAAAAUCAAUUUACAGAUUCAAUGUGAUCCCAAUCAAAAUACCAAUGACAUUCUUCCUAGAUCUAGAAAAAAAGGAUGCUAAAGCUCAUAGAAGCACAGAGACCCCAAAUACCUAAAUCAAUCUUAUACAGCAAAAACAAAGCUGAACACAUCACAAUACCAGAUUUUAAGAUAUAUUACAGGGUAAUUAUAAUCAAAACAGCUUGGUACUGACAAAAAAUAGAAGUGUAGACCAAUAAUAUAAACUCCAGAAACCAAUCUAUGCAUCUACAACCAACUAAUUGUUGGCAAAGGAGCUACCCUGGAGCCAGCGCAGUCUCUUCAACAGAUGGUGCUGGAAAAACUGGAUCUCCGUGUGCAGAAGUAUGAAGUUAAACCCCUCCCUUACAGUUACACAAAAAUCCACUUAAAAUGGAUCAAAGACACAAAUCUACAACCAGAUUCCUUCCAAUUACUAGAGAAUAUUGGGGAAACUCUGCAGGACAUUGGCAUAAGGAAAUACUUCUUGGAAAAGUCCCCAGAAGCACAGAUAGUCAAAGCCAAAAUUGGCAAAUGGGAUUACUUCAAAUUAAGAAGCUUUUGCACUACAAAAGUAACAUUCAGCACAGUGAAGAGGAAACUGAAGGAAUGGUUGAAAAUAUUGGCAAACUAUGAAACUGAUAAAAGAUUAAUUUGCAGAAUCCAUAAAGAGAUCAAGAAACUCUGGGAAGAACAGAGGAAGAAGUCCCCAUAAAUGACAGCUCCUGCCCUGCAGGAACCCCAUACACACAGCCCGGCCUCUCCCUGGUGACCACUCCAGUCCCCACUGCACAAUCAGGGAGACGCAGGGCUGCAAUCACAUAGAUGGCUCUGGGGCCCAGAAGUCUCUGAGAGCAGGUAAGGGCCAGGACUCAUGGGGUUCUGGGUGCCAGUACAGGUCCCAUGUUGAGGGCCAGGGGGGACCCAGGGAAGCACUGUGCCAGCCAUGGGAUGGGACCCACAGAUUGCAGAGAUGACCUCUGGGAGCCCCAUGUCCUGUCUUCAUGUUCACCAGGUCCACCUUCCCCUACUCUGGACUCCUGACCCCACACACUCACCAUUUCUAGGAAUCAGAAACGGGUGGUGUCCUGCAGUGAACAGUCAGAGCACACUGGAUGUUUCCUUUACUUCAGAGGUUCCCAGCAGCAGAACACGCUCCUUGGACCUCUCAGAGGUGGAACUGGACUACUAUGGUGUCAAAUUCCUGCAAGAUUACCUAGUGUUUACACCACCGGGCCUGAUUGGAUGGCUUGCACAGCAGUCAGCAUGGGCGACACAAAAGAUAGAACAAAUCAGCAUCCUCCAUAGCAGAGAUGCAACUUCAGGCCACUCCAGAUAUGUAGAGAGGCGUAACCUGGAUUCUGGUGCUUUGGUCCUCCUUUAGGGCUGUGUCCUUUCACCAGCAAGAUCCUGCCUCCUCCUGAGACUCCUCUUGUUUCCCCAUGGGUCUUCCUGGGAGAAUCCUACCUGCUUAAGGUGCUUCACCUCUGAUCCAGCUCCCUGAUAACAGUGUGGGCAAAGCAGUGGAAGAUGGACCAAGUAUUUGAUUCUCUGCCCCUCAUGCAGGGUAGCUGGAUGAGGCUCCAGCUCCUGGCUUUCACCUGGUCCAAUGAUGGGAGUUAUAAUCAUCUGGGAAGUGAACCAGCAGACAGAAGAUUUCUCUCUGUGUCUCUCCUGAUCUCUCUAACUCUGACUUUCAAAUUAAAUAAGUAA